AUUGAACGCUGGCGGCAUGCUUUACACAUGCAAGUCGAACGGUAACAGGCCGCAAGGUGCUGACGGGUGGCGAACGGGUGAGUAAUGCAUCGGAACGUGCCCAGUCGUGGGGGAUAACUACUCGAAAGAGUAGCUAAUACCGCAUACGAUCUAUGGUUGAAAGCGGGGGGCCGUAAGACCGAGCGCGAUUGGAGCUGCCGAUGUCAGAUUAGUUAGUUGGUCGGGUAAUGGCUCACCAAGUCAACGAUCUGUAGCUGGUCUGAGAGUACGAGCCGCCACACUGGGACUGAGACACGGCCCAGACUCCUACGGGAGGCAGCAGUGGGGAAUUUUGGACAAUGGGCGCAAGCCUGAUCCAGCAAUGCCGCGUGCAGGAAGAAGGCCUUCGGGUUGUAAACUGCUUUUGUACGGGACGAAACGGCUCUGGUUAAUACCCGGGGGUAAUGACGGUACCGUAAGAAUAAGCACCGGCUAACUACGUG
rnacentral:rRNA from 1 species